rnacentral:tRNA from 1 species
CAGACUACAGUUUAAACCAGAAUUUUGGCUUUGGGUGUCAAGGGUGGGAGUUAGAGUCUUCCUUGUCUGA